GAGACUCUGUCCUGUGAGUGUCCCCACCAUGGCCUGGACGGUGCUCCUGCUUGGACUCCUCACUUACAGCUCAGGUGUGGAUUCUCAGACUGUUGUCACCCAGGAGACCUCACUGUCCGUGUCUCUAGGAGGGACAGCCAUACUCACCUGUGGCCUUAGCUCUGGGUCAGUCUCUAGGAGUCACUAUCCUAAGUGGUUCCAGCAGACCCCAGGCCAGGCUCCCCACACACUCAUCUACAGCACAAACAACCGCCCCUCUGGGGUCCCUGAGCGCUUCUCUGGAUCCAUCUCUGGGAACAAAGCCGCCCUCACCAUCACGGGGGCCCAGCCUGAGGACGAGGGGGACUAUUACUGUUGCCUAUAUUACAGCAGCCCUUAUAGCUGCACAGUGCUGCAGAGUCACAGGAAGUGAGACUAAAACCUCCCUGGGCUACUCCUGCCAGGGAACCUCACCCCUGCUCUGCCUGAAUCCAAGCCUAAUGCAGGGCUCACACCUGGUGCCACGUCUGCAGACACAACCUGAGCCAUCCGGCCUUUCCCUCAUUCUCACUGAGACUCACCAUCGCCACUAAGUCACCUGUCCCUGUCUCAGAGGCAGAGAGUCCUUCCCAGGUGACACAUGUCCCAGCGGAGACACUGCAGGUGUGGACAGUGGUUGUUACCGACCAUGUCCGGUUCUGAGUCCAGGGGAGAAUCAGUGAUGUUUCUUCUCUAAGUGAUUUCCU